rnacentral:lncRNA from 1 species
AUUUAGUCUAUUUUCUUAUAAUUUUUGAUAUUUUUGAAAUACUAGAACAAAAUACUACUUGAUUUAAGUUGAAAUUUUGAAAGUUAAUAAAUUUUUAGAUGUUGUUCAUGUUGAAUUACUUGAUGAAUUAGGGGUUAAAUUGAUUGAAUUUUAAGUUAGGAGUUAGUAAAAGGGUUGAUUUGUAAAAUAAAACAUAAGUUUUGAAUAGUAUGGACUAAAUUGAGAGAAUUUUAAAAUUAGGGAUUUAUGGUGAAAUUAGAGAGUUAAAUUAGUUUAAAGU